rnacentral:rRNA from 1 species
GUGGGGAAUCUUGCACAAUGGGCGAAAGCCUGAUGCAGCGACGCCGCGUGAGGGAUGACGGCCUUCGGGUUGUAAACCUCUUUCGGCAGGGACGAAGCGAAAGUGACGGUACCUGCAGAAGAAGCACCGGCUAACUACGUGCCAGCAGCCGCGGUAAUACGUAGGGUGCGAGCGUUGUCCGGAAUUAUUGGGCGUAAAGAGCUCGUAGGCGGUUUGUUGCGUCGGCCGUGAAAACCUGGGGCUUAACUCCGGGCUUGCGGUCGAUACGGGCAGACUUGAGUUCGGCAGGGGAGACUGGAAUUCCUGGUGUAGCGGUGAAAUGCGCAGAUAUCAGGAGGAACACCGGUGGCGAAGGCGGGUCUCUGGGCCGAUACUGACGCUGAGGAGCGAAAGCGUGGGGAGCGAACAGGAUUAGAUACCCUUGUAGUCC